UAAGAUCUUUAAAGGAAUGUUAAUGUGUGGGGGGGAGGGAAUCCAACCCACCCUGAGCUAUCACUAUCACUAAUCCCUUCCCUUGUGCUACUGCAGUAUCCACGCCACUCGUCUCCCUUCAGAGGAAUUGGAACCAUCAUAAAAAUUUCAUCUGACUGGAGGGUGGAUUUGAAAUGGUUCAGAACAACUUGGCUUGUUCCUGGAAUGUUCCCUCAAGUCCUGGGCGUGCCCGUCUAAGAGCUCUUCUCCUCUAGCCCCUGCCCAGGUGCCAGACACUGCAUGGAAAUGUAUUGAGACAGCACUUUGCUUGCCAACGUGACAAUGGGACAGAGAAGCACACUGGGCUCCCAAGGAAGAAUGAACGCGAUGGCUGUCCAGGGUUUCUGCUCACCACGGUUGCCCCCAGAAAUUUUUUCCAUGGUGUGCACAGCCGAACCACUCUCAAGGCAGGGCUCACAGCAUCACCAGUGGGCCCCUCCAUUGUGACAAAUUUCCGAAAUUAAACUGCAUGCAGGUGCAGUCCUGAGAGCCAAGCG